ACUCAAAUGAAUUGACGGGGGCCCGCACAAGCAGCGGAGCGUGUGGUUUAAUUCGAUGCAACGCGCAGAACCUUACCCAGGCUUGACAUGCGUGUGGUACCAAGGGGAAACCCGAGGGACCCGCAAGGGAGCACGCACAGGUGCUGCAUGGCUGUCGUCAGCUCGUGCCGUGAGGUGUUGGGUUAAGUCCCGCAACGAGCGCAACCCCCGCGAGCAGUUACUAGGUCUGCUCGGACCGCCGGGACCAACCCGGAGGAAGGUGGGGAUGACGUCAAGUCAGCAUGGCCCUGACGUCUGGGGCGACACACACGCUACAAUGGCCGGGACAAUGGGUUGCAACGGCGCGAGCCUGAGCCAAUCCCACCAAACCCGGUCUCAGUUCGGAUCGGAGGCUGCAACUCGCCUCCGUGAAGUCGGAGUUGCUAGUAACCGCAGGUCAGCACACUGCGGUGAAUACGUUCCCGGGCCUUGUACACACCGCCCGU
rnacentral:rRNA from 1 species